rnacentral:lncRNA from 1 species
UUGUCCUGAUAAAAAUAGUGCGUGCAAAUAGAAGUUCCUCCAUUAAGCAGGCACAGAAACACAGAAAAGAAAAGGAGAGCGAGACAGAAGGAGAGCGAAAUAGAGGAGAACAGAAGGUUCAGCGCGACGUCAAUGGCGGUUUAGGGUUUUCUACUGAUUCUCUGAAGUUCGAAAGUAACCCCCUACUAUUUCUAUUCCACUCUUUCCUUUUCUCUCCUCGACCUCCAAAACCCUAAUUUCAGUUAGUCCUCGUUUCCAAUUUAAUCUCUGUAGCAUUGAAUUUCGAAUUUAAAUCUGUAAGAUCGAGGUUUAUGGGGUCGCAAGAGAAAUCAACGGCAACAAACAAUUCGAUGCAGGUGGGUGGUUUCAUUGUUAAGCAAAGUUUAUUGCCUUUUAGACUGUUUCUCUCAAAACAAGCUUGAAGAUUGUGGUUUAAGUUUUUUCUUUCCCAUUCAAUUCACCUUAUUUUGAUGUAGUAUCAUGUUCUCCGAUUGGGUUCUGUUUUAGGGUUAAUGUGGAAAUCUAGUUUACUUGGCUUGGUAGGUUGCGUAGUUUCAUUUGUUUCUGUGGUUAUAAAUUAUAAUCUUCACUUUUCUCGAGUUAGGUAUUUUAAGACUUUCUCUCUCCAAUACGGGAUUUAAUUAUUUGGUUUUAGUAUAUUUUUCCAUUCAAUUCACUUCCUUUAAAAUGUAAUAUCAUAUUCUCGGAUUGGGUUCUGUUUUAGGGUUAACGAGGUAAUUCAGUUCCUUGGCUUGGUAGGUUUGCGUAGUUUCAUUUGUUUUCAUAGGACAUAAUCUUUCACUUUUCUCUCACAAGGCUGUCAUGGAGCCUGAUAGUAGUGUCUAUGUAUGGUAGAUCCAACUGGUGGGGGUUCAGGGAUGGGCUCCCGAGCUGCAUAUUGGUAAAGGGUAAUUUUGGUAUUCUUAAAAUUUUGUUAACCAAUCUAAAUAGCUAUAUAUAUUGUAAUGGAAAGCGUUCCGAUGUAACUUGUAUUCUUCAUGCACGUAGUGAAACAUCUGGCUGUGGCUGUAGCUCUCAAUGGGUGAAGCACGUAAAUCUCGUCUUCUUGUGUGUGAUUGUUUUUUAUUUUUCUUUAUUUUCUGCAUAUGUAUCCCCUAGAUCCCGUUUAAAGGUUCUGCAUAUUCCUAAGUAAGUCCUAACGAUAAGGUUUGUUAGUUGGUCUAGAGUCUAGAGUCUAGAGUCUAGAGUCUAGACUCUAAUCAUUGGUGAAAUAUGUAAUAGCUUCUUACACUAAUUCAAGGCAUUCUAUCUGCUGAACUAUGGAAUAUCAUAGACGUGACGUGGAUAUUGGAGAUGUUUUUGUGCUGACAUUUUGGUUAUAAGUAUCUUGUGCUGGCAAUUAGGGUUUUGAUUAUCAUCUCAGAAGCAUUGCUUCAGUUUAGAAGUGUUGUAAGAGAGUCGUUUCUUUCUUAUGGAAGUAGCUGUUAGUCUGUAAUUUAAAUGCUUGGCACUUGUAAUAAGUAGGCCAGCAUAAAGAAGAACUAAUAUAAAAUUCCUAUACUAUCUGUUGAUUACGUGAUAGUUGGAAUGUUGAUAACUCUGUCUAGGUUUUUGAUAUGCUAUUCACCGAGUGCCUAUAGGAUUCCUAGAAUUAGUAGUGUUGUAAAGCUGAGUCAAUGAGCCAAUAAAAUCAAUUGCAGCAAGAAUUACUUACAGUAACAUCACAUCCCUUUUCCUCCAUAGAUCCAAACACUUUAAAGCCCUUUUCCCAAGGAUUGCAAAUUUCCUGCAAAAUGUUCAGGUGUUCCAGUGUCGAUUUAGUACAAAGAAAUUCAAAUCCAAUGACCAGUUUAGAUAUAUGAUUGCCUAUAUGUAGACUGCCAAAUCAACCAGUUGAACAACAAUCUUUGGAUGUCACAAUGAGAGGAAAGAGUUGUUCUGGUUUCAGAUAUAGCUGGAAAUAUGAAACUACCAUAUCUUUGGUAAUGGUCCAACAAUCAGUCAUAUUGUCUAGUAAAGAGACAUCAGAAAACAGAACAAGUGUAGAACCUAGCUUCUCUCCAUUCCCAACUUCCAAAUAGUAUAAACUAAACUGCAGACCAAGUGCAAAACAGAUCAUACCUAUUCAUUAUCGUGCUGGUUACACUAUGAUACAACCCCCCCAAAAGGCAGGGGCGGAUCCAGCAAGGCCCCAGCGGGGGCUACAGCCCCCACUUCCAAAAAAUUACAAAAUUUACUUUAGUUUUUAAAUUUUUUACACUUUAGCCCCCCCUAAAAUAUAUUACAAUUUUUUUUACACUUUAGCCCCCGACCUAAAAUCCUGGCUUGCCCCUGCCAAAAGGUGCAUACUAUGUGCAUUCCCCACAUGCACAUGGAUUUGCGACGAGUGGGAAGAAGCACAAUCUCAUUUUAUAGGGAUAAACAGGGAUUGUUCGUUGCAAGUGAUUACCGACCACAUUUCAGUCGUCAGAUUUAAAAAAGAAGAAUAUGAGCUGUUGAUUUGGUUCGUAGCCAACACUACCUGGGUCAUAAUCAAAGACCAAUUUGGUUAUGACCAAAUUGGUUACUAUAAUACACCACUGACCACCCCCACUUUCCCCCCUCCCCCUAAACGAAGUCCAGGUGCUAUACUUGUCUCACAUUUGUUAGGUGUGAGAUGCCAAAAGUAGGAAACUCUGACUCUUAUUACCAAGUUUGUUAGAGACUCCAUUUUGAUUGCUAGGGCUAUUGUGGAUGCACAUAGAUCUUAUAUAAAAUUCAAAAUCAAAUUUUGACUCAUUGUAUGCCCGAUGGAGUGAUAUUAUGGCAAGUCUUAAGUCACAAAAAUAUUCUGUUCUCAUAAAGUUAAAUGGAAGAGUAAGAAAAUUUUCAAUUGCAAAAUGACCCAUAGAAAUAUAUACUAAAUGGAUGCUUUUUUUGGACAAAAAGUCUUCUUGAUUGGUCUUGAAGGAACAUGCCCAUUGGGUAAGAAAGGAAAGGAAGAAGCACUAUCCUGUGGGACCACUGCCCACUUCCUUGCCAACUAAAGUGGGUAGGAAGGAGAAGGGAGUGGGUUUCCUUGUCGUUUGGACGGUUUUACAUGUAAAAUUAUUGUUCCUUUAGCAUGCAUGGUUGAAUGGUAAAAUGAUAACAUUACUGUGUUGGCUCCUCGUUUUACUUCCCAAAACCAAAACAAAUGAGGGGAAUGCACCUCCCUUCCUUAAGAUAGGCUUCUAUCCAUCUCUAACUCUGUAUUCUCUCAAAGUUUCACGUUGAAGCAGUUAGAGUACUCGUGAGACUUAUUAGGGCAGGUGAAUGGCUGAUUUUGGCUGGAGUCAUGUUGGCAGCUUGAAUGAAGUGAGCAAAGAAUGUCGACUUAUUAGUGUUUAUUAUAAAGAAAGAUAGAGGAGCUUUUGUUUGUAAUGCUUAGUAUUAUAUCUGCGACUGAGCAGUUAGUAACUUAGGCGUUCCCAGCUUAUGUUGAUAUACCUGAUAUUAAGUUUCAGCUUAUUGAUGGCUUACAUCAUUUGCAUAUCCAGGGUAGUGGCAUAAACAUCUAAUAUGGGUAGGUGUUACAUUGGCUGUGUGUUUAGAUAUUUUAACAUAGAUGCAUGUUCCAAUAGAAGUGGAGGUGUGGACAUAUUGUCAAUUAGUGGAGUUCACAGAGUGUUAAGAGUCAUAUUGUGAAGUAAGGGUAAUCUUUUUGUUGAUUUUUUUAAAAAUCUAAUAUAGUCAUGUUAACUGUCUUGUUUGGCUAAAACACCUCCUUAUAUAUUGGGUUUUGAUAAAUAGUCCACAAUGGAGCUCAAGUAGAAAGUAAUGACCACUUUUCAUGGGCAAUAUCUAGGGUUAAUGCAAUCAAUAUCUAUACUACCAAGGUGGUCAAAAUCGGGAUCCUACCUGGAUCGUUUGGGGCCUUUCGGAUCGGAUCGUAGGAUCGGGAUUCGGGGAUCGUACGAUCCUACCAAAUAGAUACAAAAAAGCUAAUAAUUUUUGUAAUUGAUAAAUUACUCAAAAUGAAUAGGGAAUAAACCUAAAUUAUAUAAAAAAGAGUUAAAAUAUCAAAAAGAACAAAUUGAAACCCAUUGAGCAGUCACAAAAUGACUUAUUAAAUCUUGAGGAUGUACUAACUGAUAUAAAUUCUACACCACUUUGUAAUUUGUGAUUAUAAGGUUGUGUGAGAAGAUCAUGGCCUACGGUAGAGUAAAAAAAAAGAAAAAAAGAAAAAAAAAAGAUUUCUAAAGUCAUCCAUAGAACCUUACGAUCCUACCACGAUCCGAGUCGCCGAUCCUACACGAUUCCUAUACGAUCCUACAACGAUUCCUACCACGAUCCUAACGAGCCUACAACGAUCCUACCACGAUCCUAUCCCACUGCGAUUAUUUUAUCGAUCCCUGCGAUAUUUUAUCGAAUACGGAUCGAGUUCAUCAUUUGGGAAUCAUGGGAUCGUACGAUCUACGAUCGGAUCCGGAUUUUGAUAACCAUGCUUAUCUACGUGUACUGGCCCAAAACAUUUAAUGCAUAAGUAUAUCUAACAAGGAAAAUGCUAACCACUACCCAAUGGGCCGUGGUUAAUGGAAAAAAAAAAUGUAUUGAUAAGUGUUUAAGUAUUCGUGAAAGUAUAUUGAAACCUCUGAAAAAUGUAUAAACAUUCGUGAGAAGUGUGCAUUAACCACCGUUCACUAGGCAGUGGUUAGCAGGACCAUCUAACAAAUCAUAUUCCACCAUUAAAAGUAGCUAAAGAUCUUUCCCGGUGUCGGGACCACAAUCUUCAAGACAGAAAUUUGUGAGUUAGGAGAGAAACAUGUGUUCGACGAGUACGCAGUUGUGAGGCAACAAUGAAAGGGUCAAUUUUGAAUGGAUAUUAGGAGUAUCUUGGAUUUUGUUAUUGGGGGACCCCACUUAUAAAAAAAGAGGUAAAUAAGAAAAGCAUGACACCUAAUACAACGAAAAGGAAAUUGCCAAAAAAGUGGUAUUCUAAAAGAAAAAUAAACGACAUUGAGCAAUGAAGCUACAAAAAAAAAGAGUAGAAAUAAAAUCUGAGAAAAUUGCUUAGAAUA